AGGGCGGAAGCCAGACUGAAGAGGGUCAAGGAGAGAGUUGGAAUUAAGGAAGCGGGACACACGGGUAAAGACAACAUGAAAUAAUACUUUAUUAAUUGGUAGGUGUUAAGUGGUUCUCUUAAUGCUCUGCCUACUAAGGGUGAUGUCACUGGGACCACAAGGGUCUCCCCCGGAUUCCAGCGCCAUCUUGUUACACGAGGUAGUUAGUCGGUGUUAUGGGGGGGAGGGGUUAGAAGCUUCUAGUGGCCAUUUUGUCUAAACAUGUGUUAAUAGCUCAUUCACUGAUUUCGGUUAGAUGAGUAAAUAGACAUUUUACUAACUAGAAAUUAUGUCAAU